UCCGUAGGUGAACCUGCGGAGGGAUCAUUACAGAGUUUUUAACUCCUAAAACCAUGUGAACUUACCACUGUUGCCUCGGUGGAAGGUACCCGAAAGGGUGCUGGAAGCCGGCGGACAUCUAAACUCUUGUUAAUUUUUGUUAUUCUGAAUCAAACUAAGAAAUAAGUUAAAACUUUCAACAACGGAUCUCUUGGUUCUGGCAUCGAUGAAGAACGCAGCGAAAUGCGAUAAGUAAUGUGAAUUGCAGAAUUCAGUGAAUCAUCGAAUCUUUGAACGCACAUUGCGCCCAUUAGUAUUCUAGUGGGCAUGCCUGUUCGAGCGUCAUUUCAACCCUUAAGCCUAGCUUAGUGUUGGGAGACUGCCUAAUACGCAGCUCCUCAAAACCAGUGGCAGAGUUUUUACGUACUCUGAGCGCAGUAAUUCUAUUCUCGCUUUUGAACACGUCUAGACGAUAGCCAAAAACCGCUUGCCUCGGCAGCACUUUUUAAUGGUUGACCUCGGAUCAGGUAGGAAUACCCGCUGAACUUAAGCAUAUCAAUAAGCGGAGGAA
rnacentral:rRNA from 1 species